UGUGCAGACGAUCAGGGGACGAGAAGAGGUGUAAUGUUAACAAUUAUUACAAUGAAAAUGCCUCUGAUUUUUGCUUUAUGGGUUGUAGUGGUUUUUGUUUUAAGAAGGACCCGUGCAGACCCAGUAACUCAGCCAAAAGGCACCAUUCCCGUCCACGAGGGAAAGCCGGUGCUUAUUCGCUGCACUUUCGACUACUCUGGGGCUCCAUAUCUCUACUGGUACGAGCAGUAUCCCCAUGAAGCCCCUCGCCCGUUGCUUACACAAUAUGAAGCAUCGGACGAGGAGGAGAAGAGACGCAGGCGAGGGUUCUCUGCUAAACUGGAGAAAGACUCCAAAUCCUUCCAUCUGGAGAAAAACUCCAGCGAAGUGAGCGACUCUGCUGUCUACUACUGCGCCUUGAGAGACACCGCGAGCAAAACCACCUGGGGAGGUGAACAAAAACCUCCCUGAGUGAGAAACACAAAGGACUGAAAUAGCUGAGGUUGUGGGUGUCUCAAGAACUCAAAAGUGUUUGAAUGUUCAUAACCGGACCCAGAGAAUGCAAAUCCUUUCUCUUUAACACUUUCAAUAACUCUGACAUGUUCUAAUCCCCAUUCUUUACUCUGGUCCAGAUGAGGGGUAGGGUCAAAGGUUAGGGGUAAGGGGCUGGGGUAUUGUGUAUAUGGCAAGGAGUUAGA